GACGAACGCUGGCGGCGCGCUUAACGCAUGCAAGUCGAACGGAAAGGCCUGCUUUCCCUUGUGGAUUGCGGGUACUCGAGUGGCGAACGGGUGAGUAACACGUGAGUGAUCUGCCCCCAACUUGGGUAUAAGCCUGGGAAACUGGGUCUAAUUCCCGAUAGGACUGCAGGGUGGUGCCUGUGGUGGCAAACGAUUUUCUAGUGGUUGGGGAUGAGCUCGCGGCCUUUCAGCUUGUUGGUGGGGGAAUGGCCUACCAAUGCGGGGACGGGUAGGCGGCCUGGGGUAGGCGACGGGAGAGGUUGGACGGAGAUACGGCGCCUGCGCCACCGGGAAGACGCCUACGGGAAGAAGGCGUAAGGGACAGUAGCCUGUGGGAGGAAGCCCGCGGGGGGGAUGACGGCCGUCGGGUUGUAACCUCCUGGCGGCCGAGAGGAAGCCACCUGGAUGGAAGGGUGGUGACGGUAGUGGUAGAAGAAGCACCGGCUAACUACGUG
rnacentral:rRNA from 1 species